rnacentral:rRNA from 1 species
GGGGUGCUCGAGUGGCGAACGGGUGAGUAACACGUGAGUAACCUGCCCUUGACUUUGGGAUAACUUCAGGAAACUGGGGCUAAUACCGGAUAGGAGCUCCUGCUGCAUGGUGGGGGUUGGAAAGUUUCGGCGGUUGGGGAUGGACUCGCGGCUUAUCAGCUUGUUGGUGGGGUAGUGGCUUACCAAGGCUUUGACGGGUAGCCGGCCUGAGAGAGUGACCGGCCACAUUGGGACUGAGAUACGGCCCGG